rnacentral:rRNA from 1 species
CCUACGGGAGGCAGCAGUGGGGAAUAUUGCGCAAUGGCCGAAAGGCUGACGCAGCGACGCCGCGUGGGGGAUGAAGCAUUUCGGUGUGUAAACCCCUGUUGCCCGGGACGAACAACUGGUUUUGACCAGUCUGACGGUACCGGGUGAGGAAGCACCGGCUAACUCCGUGCCAGCAGCCGCGGUAAUACGGAGGGUGCGAGCGUUGUCCGGAAUCACUGGGCGUAAAGGGCGCGUAGGCGGUCUGCUAAGCGUGUGGUGAAAGCUCGGGGCUCAACCCCGAGUCGGCCAUGCGAACUGGUGGACUUGAGCACUGUAGAGGCAGGUGGAAUUCCGGGUGUAGCGGUGGAAUGCGUAGAGAUCCGGAAGAACACCGGUGGCGAAGGCGGCCUGCUGGGCAGUAGCUGACGCUGAGGCGCGACAGCGUGGGGAGCAAACAGGAUUAGAUACCCUGGUAGUCCACGCCGUAAACGAUGGGAACUAGGUGCUUGGGGGAGCGACCCCCGAGUGCGGCGCUAACGCAUAAGUUCCCGCCUGGGGAGUACGACCGCAAGGUUGAAACGUCAAAGGAAUUAGACGG